rnacentral:rRNA from 1 species
UAGGGAAUAUUGCACAAUGGGCGAAAGCCUGAUGCAGCGACGCCGCGUGGGGGAUGAAGGCCUUCGGGUUGUAAACUCCUUUUAGCAAGGAAGAAGCGAAAGUGACGGUACUUGCAGAAAAAGCGCCGGCUAACUACGUGCCAGCAGCCGCGGUAAUACGUAGGGCGCAAGCGUUGUCCGGAAUUAUUGGGCGUAAAGAGCUCGUAGGCGGUUUGUCGCGUCUGCUGUGAAAUCCUGAGGCUCAACCUCGGGUCUGCAGUGGGUACGGGCAAGCUAGAGUGUGGUAGGGGAGACUGGAAUUCCUGGUGUAGCGGUGGAAUGCGCAGAUAUCAGGAGGAACACCAAUGGCGAAGGCAGGUCUCUGGGCCACAACUGACGCUGAGGAGCGAAAGCGUGGGGA